GUUGAAGUCAACCCCCAUGCAGCAGCCAAGGUGACCAUGCAAGGUGGCCAUGCAGGGAUCGUGCUUUAACAGCAAACCGAAACUGCAUUGUUUCAUUUGGUUACUCAAAUGAACAUUUUGUGUUUUAGUUUGUUUUGAACUAAGUUGGUAACUGUAUUUUGAUGUAAUUAGGUGCUGAAUGACAAGUUUAGGUAGAAGUUUAUGUUUUCAAUCAAGUUUACCAAGUUACUAGGCAAUUUAGUGGUGUUAGGUAUGUUAUUAGGUGGUAACUUGUUUGUUUUGCUGUUGUUAUCUCAU
rnacentral:lncRNA from 1 species